CCCUUAGAUGUUCUGGGCCGCACGCGCGCUACACUGAUGCAUUCAACGAGCCUAUCCUUGACCGACAGGUCCGGGUAAUCUUUGAAUCUGCAUCGUGACGGGGAUAGAUUAUUGCAAUUAUUAAUCUUCAACGAGGAAUGCCUAGUAGGCGCAAGUCAUCAGCUUGCGUCGAUUACGUCCCUGCCCUUUGUACACACCGCCCGUCGCUCCUACCGAUCGAAGAGUUAGGUGAAUUGUUUUGAUCGAUAAGAUUUGACUAUGGUUAACUCUCGUUGUGAAAUUCUGUGAAUCUGACUGUUUAGAGGAAGGAAAAGUCGUAACA
rnacentral:rRNA from 1 species